rnacentral:rRNA from 1 species
UCUGGGAUAACCCUUGGGAAACUGGGGAUAAUACCGGAUGGAUCAUCUUUGCUGGAAGGCUUGGUGGUUGAAACGCGAGGCUGUUGGAUGGGUCUGCGGCUGAUUAGGUUGUUGCCGGUGUAAUGUACCGUCAAGCCUGUAAUCAGUACGGGUUGUGGGAGCAAGAGCCCGGAGAUGGAUUCUGAGACACGAAUCCAGGCCCUACGGGGCGCAGCAGGCGCGAAAACUCUACAAUGCAGGCAACUGCGAUAGGGGAACAUCGAGUGGCGUCCAUAUUGGAUGUCUGUCCACCCGCCUAAAAAGCGGGUGUUAGCAAGGGCCGGGCAAGACCGGUGCCAGCCGCCGCGGUAAUACCGGCGGCUCGAGUGGUGGCCGAUAUUAUUGAGUCUAAAGGGUCCGUAGCCGGCUUUGCAAGUCUCUCGGGAAAUCCAGCGGCUUAACCGUUGGGCGUCUGGGGGCUACUACAUUGCUUGGGACUGGGAGAGGCGAGAGGUACUCAGGGGGUAGGAGUGAAAUCCUGUAAUCCUUUGGGGACCACCGGUGGCGAAGGCGUCUCACCAGAACAGGUCCGACGGUGAGGGACGAAAGCUAGGGGCACGAACCGGAUUAGAUACCCGGGUAGUCCUAGCCGUAAACGAUGCUCNCUAGNUNUCACAACAGUCGUGAACUGAUGUGGUACCGUAGGGAAGCCGUGAAGCGAGCCACUUGGGAAGUACGACCGCAAGGUUGAA